UGCAGUCGAACGGAUCCUUCGGGAUUAGUGGCAGACGGGUGAGUAACGCGUGGGAAGCUACCUUGUGGUAGGGGACAACAGUUGGAAACGACUGCUAAUACCCUAUGAGCCCUAUGGGGGAAAGAUUUAUCGCCAUGAGAUGUGCCCGCGUUAGAUUAGCUAGUUGGUAAGGUAAUGGCUUACCAAGGCGACGAUCUAUAGCUGGUCUGAGAGGAUGAUCAGCCACACUGGGACUGAGACACGGCCCAGACUCCUACGGGAGGCAGCAGUGGGGAAUAUUGGACAAUGGGGGCAACCCUGAUCCAGCCAUGCCGCGUGUGUGAUGACGGCCUUAGGGUUGUAAAGCACUUUCAGCAGUGAAGAUAAUGACAUUAACUGCAGAAGAAGCCCCGGCUAACUUCGUGCCAGCAGCCGCGGUAAUACGAAGGGGGCUAGCGUUGUUCGGAAUCACUGGGCGUAAAGAGUACGUAGGCGGACUGAUAAGUUAGGGGUGAAAUCCCAAGGCUCAACCUUGGAACUGCCUUUGAUACUGUCAGUCUUGAGAUCGAGAGAGGUGAGUGGAACUCCGAGUGUAGAGGUGAAAUUCGUAGAUAUUCGGAAGAACACCAGUGGCGAANNCGGCUCACUGGCUCGAUACUGACGCUGAGGUACGAAAGCGUGGGGAGCAAACAGGAUUANNUACCCUGGUAGUCCACGCCGUAAACGAUG
rnacentral:rRNA from 1 species